GAGUUUGAUCAUGGCUCAGAUUGAACGCUGGCGGCAUGCCUUACACAUGCAAGUCGAACGGCAGCAUGAUCUAGCUUGCUAGAUUGAUGGCGAGUGGCGAACGGGUGAGUAAUACAUCGGAACGUGCCCUGUAGUGGGGGAUAACUAGUCGAAAGAUUAGCUAAUACCGCAUACGACCUGAGGGUGAAAGUGGGGGACCGCAAGGCCUCAUGCUAUAGGAGCGGCCGAUGUCUGAUUAGCUAGUUGGUGGGGUAAAGGCCCACCAAGGCGACGAUCAGUAGCUGGUCUGAGAGGACGAUCAGCCACACUGGGACUGAGACACGGCCCAGACUCCUACGGGAGGCAGCAGUGGGGAAUUUUGGACAAUGGGGGCAACCCUGAUCCAGCAAUGCCGCGUGUGUGGAGAAGGCCUUCGGGUUGUAAAGCACUUUUGUCCGGAAAGAAAUCGCACUUACUAAUAUUAGGUGUGGAUGACGGUACCGGAAGAAUAAGGACCGGCUAACUACGUGCCAGCAGCCGCGGUAAUACGUAGGGUCCAAGCGUUAAUCGGAAUUACUGGGCGUAAAGCGUGCGCAGGCGGUUGUGCAAGACCGAUGUGAAAUCCCCGGGCUUAACCUGGGAAUUGCAUUGGUGACUGCACGGCUAGAGUGUGUCAGAGGGGGGUAGAAUUCCACGUGUAGCAGUGAAAUGCGUAGAGAUGUGGAGGAAUACCGAUGGCGAAGGCAGCCCCCUGGGAUAACACUGACGCUCAUGCACGAAAGCGUGGGGAGCAAACAGGAUUAGAUACCCUGGUAGUCCACGCCCUAAACGAUGUCAACUAGUUGUUGGGGAUUCAUUUCCUUAGUAACGUAGCUAACGCGUGAAGUUGACCGCCUGGGGAGUACGGUCGCAAGAUUAAAACUCAAAGGAAUUGACGGGGACCCGCACAAGCGGUGGAUGAUGUGGAUUAAUUCGAUGCAACGCGAAAAACCUUACCUACCCUUGACAUGCCACUAACGAAGCAGAGAUGCAUUAGGUGCUCGAAAGAGAAAGUGGACACAGGUGCUGCAUGGCUGUCGUCAGCUCGUGUCGUGAGAUGUUGGGUUAAGUCCCGCAACGAGCGCAACCCUUGUCUCUAGUUGCUACGAAAGGGCACUCUAGAGAGACUGCCGGUGACAAACCGGAGGAAGGUGGGGAUGACGUCAAGUCCUCAUGGCCCUUAUGGGUAGGGCUUCACACGUCAUACAAUGGUGCAUACAGAGGGUUGCCAAGCCGCGAGGUGGAGCUAAUCCCAGAAAAUGCAUCGUAGUCCGGAUCGUAGUCUGCAACUCGACUACGUGAAGCUGGAGUCGCUAGUAAUCGCGGAUCAGCAUGCCGCGGUGAAUACGU
rnacentral:rRNA from 1 species